UCUAAUUUCAGAAAUCCCUUUGUGCUGGUCAAUGGCUUUUUUUGCUAGGAGGUGCAUCACUCUUUUGGUUCAUAUGAAGCAGAAUUGUUGUCUUAGAUUUCUUAUAUCUUUCUCCAUAUUCCUACUCUGAGGUGCUCCUUAUAAUAGUCAGCUUACAUAUCAGUAUCAAUUGAAACUGUUGUUGCAGUUGGACAUCAUACAUAUGGAAAUUUUGGUCCACUAAUUUUCAUGGAAUUUUCAAAUAUCACCAAGAAAACCCUUGUUCUAAAUUUGGUAGAUCCAGUAAGGAGUUUUCCGUGCAAGGGAUUUGACACCAUUUGAAUUUGUG
rnacentral:misc_RNA from 1 species